rnacentral:rRNA from 1 species
AUUGAACGCUGGCGGCAGGCCUAACACAUGCAAGUCGAGCGAGCGGCGGACGGGUGAGUAAUGUAUGGGGACUGCCCGAUAGAGGGGGAUAACUACUGGAAACGGUGGCUAAUACCGCAUACUAACGGAUAACCAAGAUGGGAUUAGCUAGUAGGUGGGGUAAAGGCUCACCAAGGCGACGAUCUCUAGCUGGUCUGAGAGGAUGAUUAGCCCCACUGGAACGGAGACACGGACCAGACUCCUACGGAGGGAGCAGUGGGGAAUAUUGAACAAUGGGCGCAAACCUGUAGCAGCCAUGCCGCGUGUAUGAAGAAGGCCUUAGGGUUGUAAAGUACUUUCAGCGGGGAGGCGUUACCCGCAGAAGAAGCACCGGCUAACUCCGUGCCAGCAGCCGCGGUAAUUC